UCUAGCAUGUGCGCGAGUCAUUGGGACUUUUUUUCAGGAAAGCCCAGAGGCGCAAUGAAAGUGAAGAUCGGCCUUUUCGGCUUGAUCGAGGGAGGAUGGCUCAUUGUUAUUUUUAUAAUGACGGGCUCGCACUCCCGGGGCGUCUCGCGCUCAUUUCGAGCGGAGGCGCACCCAGAGCGUACACGCUGGGACCCGAAAGAUGGUGAACUAUGCCUGGUCAGGACGAAGUCAGGGGAAACCCUGAUGGAGGUCCGUAGCGAUUCUGACGUGCAAAUCGAUCGUCGGAACUGGGUAUAGGGGCGAAAGACUAAUCGAACCAUC
rnacentral:rRNA from 2 species